AAAAAAAAAAAGUGCCAAAUCCCUUUCUCCCCCCUACCUGAUCCUUACUUUCCUUUCUCCCUCUCUCUCUCUCGCAUGCUCUCUGCUAGGCCCGAACGAUGACGGCAGGGGCUCAGGGAAUGGUGGUCGACGGCGGCAGGGGGGUCGGGGUCGAGCUGUUCGGCGGUAGGGGGCUCGGGGCUGGGCUCGACAGCAACGACUGGUGGCUCGUGGCUGGGCUCGACAACAACGACUGAUGGCUCGGGGGUUGGGCUCGACGGCAGGUGGGGGGGUCUCGGGUCUGGGCUCGACGGCACAAGGGCUGGGCAGACGGCUGUUUGGCUUCGGGACUUUGAGAGACACGAGAGCUAUGGCCAUGGCUGAAUCUAACGAUUUCGUUUCAGUUGAUAUGGAGAGGAUGUAUCUCGGUGGAAAGUGUCUUUUGCAUUUGGGUCCACCGGGAAUGAUCCUAGAUUGAUCUUCUCCUUCAAGGUCUCCUCCUUCCCACCGGGAAUGACCUCGCCGCCGACCUAAUCGCUGGCAAAUACAACUAUCGUCAACGCCUCCUCUUCCUCCUCAUUGCUCUUGAGCCUAUCUCCUUCUUCAUUUAGGUUUGUUUUUUGCUUCUUCCAGACCUGUCUCAUUUUUAUUGUGCAAAUGUCAGCUAUUAUGAUCCCCGACAAUCUUCGAGGCUUCUCAACGAUUCUGUUCUUUGAAGAUAGACGUAGCUUUUCGACAAGUCUAGUUUGUUCAUUUUAGCAUCUUCUGUACUUAUCAAGGACUAGGAAACUGCAGGAUUUAAUACAUGGAAAAAACUCCUGCUAGGGGAAAGCUUUUGGUGAAAAUAGCUCUAUCUCUCUCAUAUCAGAACCUGGCUUCACAUUUAUGGCUGCUAAUUUUGAUGGAAUACUUGGACUUGGAUUUGGAUUUCAAGAGAUCUUGGUUGGAAAUGUUGUUCAGGUAAAUCUAUCUAUCUCAACCUCUAAACAUGCUGUAAAACUUCAAUUGAAUCUUCAAUCCAUGUUGUAAAAUGUUUAAUGAGAUUUAUAACCUCCUAAUAAUAAAUUAUUAUAACUUAACUUGUGGAUUUUUCUUAGCAGUUAGGUAAUGAAUUGCCUUGGUUCUCUCUUUUGUGAAAUGAGAUUUGUAACCAUUUAUUUUGACUUAUCUUUUGUUUUGCAAUAGGAAAGGGAUGACUAAAGUGUGAUAAAUGCUUUUAUGAGUGCUUUUUCUAUAUACACAUAUUAGGUCUACUUGCACCCAACAUUUGAUGUCAAAUUAAUGAUAUAAAUUAUUUACUCUUAUUAUAGCUGACGUCCAACAUAUAGUAUUGUAAUUGAUUCUCUUUGAAAAAUGGAGAACAUUUAAAGAGUUAUAUGAACUGAUGUUAUUGAACAGGGUUCUACCAGAUUCACUUUGAUCAAAGGUUAUAUGAAGGUUGAUAAAACACAAGUGUUAAUACUGAGUUCUCAUCAUAUAGUUUAUGUUCCAUAAUUAGCAUUAUACAAAUUAGGUAAUAAGUGGUUGCAUUACCCAGUUUGAUUGUGUUGUGUGUACCAAGACAUGAGAAAUCAAGUACAACAAAGGAUAACAUAUAUACUGAGUUCUUAACUUAGAUUGAUUGAUCAACAUAAUUAGUCCUUAGUUCAUUUAAUUAUUUUUGUUAGGUGGCCAUACUCACAUAUUUGAAUGUACAUCAAAGCUGGCCAUUUAAACUUAAAUGUGCAAUUUUCAUUUCGAACUCCCAUGAUGCUGUGGACGUCCAUGAUAGUUUAGCUGCUAAAACUGAACAUGGUGAUGCUUCCAGAAAGGAAAGGUCCUCAGUUCAAGGUGUAGGACAGAUGAUAUGGACUCAGACCUCGAAAACGUACUCAAUCGCCGCUCGGGAGCCAAACAAAGCAAACGCCCAAGGGCGUCACAGAAGGGGGGACGACCCUCUAAGGUCCCUAAAAGGACUGAGACAACCCCUCCUCUGGACUCCCAGGGCCCGAGCCAAGCUGCUACUGCAGACCCCGAGGUCACUCUUCCCCUGCCUCCUAUUAUCCAAACCUCCUAGGAAACCGCUCCAGCUCCAAAGAAGCUGGUUCUAACUCGUGAGCGUCUAUUGUUGAUUUCGACUCACUCUAGUGAGUACGUUAUCGAUAGGGCUGCUGGGACCCACAGAGCACCCUCGGCUCGGAAGUUUUGUCUCAGGUGGGCCAAAACUUCAGCAAUCUCGGCGCUCCUUAGUGGCAGUUUCUAAACAACUGUCAGGAUACCAAUACCCUUUAUGACAAGGGUAGCGAGCUUAUCUCCUAGGCUCUUGCGACAUUUGCUCAGCUGAACUACAAGCUGAACAAUGAGGUCCAUUCGAUCAUG